UUGAACGCUGGCGGGAUGCUUACACAUGCAAGUCGAACGGCAGCACGGACUUCGGUCUGGUGGCGAGUGGCGAACGGGUGAGUAAUGUAUCGGGCGACACUAGUAGCGGGGGAUAACUGCAUAGAAAGCGUAGCUAAUGCCGCACACACGCCCUUCGGGGAAAGCGGGGACCUUCGGGCCUCGCACUAUUAGAGCAGCCGAUGGCACUCGGAUUGGCUAGUUGGUGGGAGUAACGGCCCGCAAGGCGACGAUCCGUAGCUGGUUUGAGAGGACGACCAGCCACACUGGGACUGAGACACGGCCCAGACUCCUACGGGAGGCAGCGGUGAGGCACGGACAAUGGGAGAGCCUGAUCCAGCCAUCCCGCGUGUGCGAUGAAGGCCUUCGGGUUGUAAAGCACUUUUGGCAGGAAAAGAAACCGGCACGGGAUAAUACCCCGUGCAACUGACGGUACCUGCAGAAUAAGCACCGGCUAACUACGUGCCAGCAGCCGCGGUAAUACGUAAGUACAAGCGUUAAUCACGGAAUUACUGGGCGUAAAGCGUGCGCAGGCGGUUCGGAAAGAAAGAUGUGAAAUCCCAGAGCUUAACUUUGGAACUGCAUUUUUUAACUACCGAGCUAGAGUGUCAGAGGAGGCGAGUUCCGUCGUAGCAGUGAAAUGCGUAGAUAUGCGGAGGAACACCGAUGGCGAAGGCAGCCUCCUGGGAUAACACUGACGCUCAUGCACGAAGCGUGGGGAGCAAACAGGAUUAGAUACCCUGGUAGUCCACGCCUAAACGAUGUCAACUAGCUGUUGGGGCCUUCCGGGCCUUGGCAGCGCAGCUAACUGCGUGAAGUUGACCGCCUGGGGAGUACGGUCGCAAGAUUAAAACUCAAAGGAAUUGACGGGGACCCGCACUGACGGUGGAUGAUGUGGUUAAUUCGAUGCAACGCGAAAAACCUUACCCUACCCUUGGUAUGUCUAGGUCCGAAGAGAUUUGGGAGUGCUCGCAGAGAACCGGAACACAGGUGCUGCAUGGCUGUCGUGGCUCUGUGUCGUGAGAUGUUGAGUUAAGUCCUGUGAAGCGCAACCCUUGUCAUUAGUUGCUACGAAGGGCACUCUAAUGGGCUGCCGGUGACAAACCGGAGGAAGGUGGGGAUGACGUCAAGUCCUCAUGGCCCUUAUGGGUAGGGAUUCUACACGUCAUACAAUGGUCGGGACAGAGGUCCGCUAACCCGCGAGAGGCCAAUCCCAGAAACCCGAUCGUAGUCCGGAUCGCAAGUCACAACUCGACUGCGUGAAGUCGGAAUCGCUAGUAAUCGCGGAUCAGCAUGUCGCGGUGAAUACGUUCCCGGGUCUUGUACACACCGCCGCGACACCAUGGGAGUGGGUUUUACCAGAAGUAGUUAGCCUAACCGUAAGGAGGGCGAUUACCACGGCCCAGGAUUCAUGACACAGGGUGAAGUCGUAACAAGGUAA
rnacentral:rRNA from 1 species